GAUGAACGCUGGCGGCGUGCCUAAUACAUGCAAGUCGAGCGAACGGACGAGAAGCUUGCUUCUCUGAUGUUAGCGGCGGACGGGUGAGUAACACGUGGAUAACCUACCUAUAAGACUGGGAUAACUUCGGGAAACCGGAGGUAAUACCGGAUAAUAUUUUGAACCGCAUGGUUCAAAAGUGAAAGGCGGUCUUGCUGUCACUUAUAGAUGGAUCCGCGCUGCAUUAGCUAGUUGGUAAGGUAACGGCUUACCAAGGCAACGAUGCAUAGCCGACCUGAGAGGGUGAUCGGCCACACUGGAACUGAGACACGGUCCAGACUCCUACGGGAGGCAGCAGUAGGGAAUCUUCCGCAAUGGGCGAAAGCCUGACGGAGCAACGCCGCGUGAGUGAUGAAGGUCUUCGGAUCGUAAAACUCUGUUAUUAGGGAAGAACAUAUGUGUAAGUAACUGUGCACAUCUUGACGGUACCUAAUCAGAAAGCCACGGCUAACUACGUG
rnacentral:rRNA from 1 species